GGAUACAAUUAACUUAGGCUUGAAUAGAGACUGGGAGUGGCUUAGUCAUUAUGCAAGGUAGCCUAUUUCCCCUUGUUUUUUCCUCCCCCCUCCCCCCCCGACGUUCUUGUUAAACCCUGGAUUUGUGCUGGAAAUGGCACACCGUGAUUAUCAUACACAUUUUAAGGAGAGUGGUCACUUUAGAUAAGCUAUUACCAGCAGGAGAGUGGGGUGGGAGGAGGUAUUUUUUUCAUGCUUUGUGUGUAUAUAAUAAGAUCUUCUAAACUUUCCACAGUAUGCAUCUGAUGAAGUGAGCUGUAGCUCACGAAAGCUUAUGCUCAAAUAAAUUGGUUAGUCUCUAAGGUGCCCCAAGUACUCCUUUUCUUUAUUCUCUACCUCAGUUUCCUAUCUGUAAAAUGGUGGUAAAUACCCAUCAACUGCUUUCACAUAUGUGAAGAACAAAUUAAUUGUUUGUGAAGCACUUUGAUACUAUGAUAUGAGCACUAUAGAAAUGCCCAUGAAGAAAGGAAUAAUUUUUGAGUUAUUGCAUAUGCCUAGUUAACUGUAGGUGUGUAUGUACCAGUGCAUGGACAGUGGAGAACUUUUAUCCCUAGUCGGAGCCCUAAGGUAGCCUCCUCUGUGGUAGCCGCCUUGACCCCCAUCUCAUUUCCCUCCCAGCUAGUGAGUAGGGUUUUGAACAGAAUAGUUUCUGCCCUGUCAUCCUGACCAUAUUACCCUCUUCCUUAAAUCUCUCUACUAGCUGCCACUUCUCUGUCACAUCAAAUACAAGUGUCUGGUCCAUACCUUUUAAGGCCCUUUCUAACUCAGUCCAGCCCUUCUUUUCUACUUGUCAUCUGCUCUGCCAAUAAUGCUGUUUUCCAAUGGUUACUUGUCUGCUUCUUCCAAAUGACUUCCUUUUACUUGGAACACCCUUUCUGAACUUGUCAGUAAACCCCAGACCCUCUUCUUCAAAUGCUUCUUCAAGACCCAGUUCCCUGGUGAUACUUAUGGGAAACUGCCAAAUGCUAAUGGCUAGGUAGAUGAGUUUUGCCUGAUGUUUACCUACCUUAUAUUUUGUGUAUUUUUAUAAUAAAAAAAAGUAAAUGGACCAACUUGGAACCAGGUAUCUGCACCUAUAGUUGGCUUAUAUCAAUGUACAUUCUUGUUAGUUUUCCUCCCUCUCCGUCCCUUCUAAUUGUUUGUUAUAGCUAUUUGUAGCUAGUCUGAGGCCUGGUCUACACUACUAGUUUGUCAAUUUAGCAGCAUUAAAUCAAAUUAAUCCUGCACCUGUCCACACAACAAAGCCAUUUUUGUCAACAUAAAGGGCUCUUAAAAUUGAUUUCUGUACUCCUCCCUGACAAGGGGAUUAGUGCUGAAAUUGACAUCGCCAUUUCAAAUUAGCGUUAGUGUGGACGCAAUUCGAUGGCAUUGGCCUCCGGGAUCUAUCCCACAUUGCACCAUUUUGACUGCUCUGGACAGCACUCUGAACUUGCACUGGCCAGGUAUACAGGAAAAGACACGGGAACUUUUGAAUCUCAUUUCCUGUUUGGCCAGGCGAGCUCAUCAGCACAGGUAACCAUGCAGUCCCAGAAUCGAAAAAGAGCUCCAACAUGGACUGAACAGGAGGUACUGGAUCUGAUCACUGUAUGGGGAGAGGAAUCUGUGCUAUCAGAACUAUGUUCCAAAAGACAAAAUGCCAAAAGUUUUCAAAAAGAUCUCCAAGGCCAUGAGGGACAGAGGCUACAGCAGGGACGCAACACAGUGCCGCUUGAAACUUAAGGAGCUCAGACAAGCGCACCAGAAAACCAAAGAAUCAAACGGAUGCUCCAGGACAGAGCCCCAGACAUGCCCCUUCUAUGCUGAGCUGCAUGCAAUUCUAGGAGGGGCCGCCACCACUACCCCACCCCUGUCCGUGGACUCCGAUGAUUGGGCAGUCUCCACCAUGCCUGAGGAUUUUGUGGAUGGGGGAGAUGAGGAGGAGGACGAGCUUGAGGAGAGCACACAGCAGCACACCAUUCUCCCCAACAGCCAGGAUCUUUUCAUCACCCUGACUGAAAUACCCUCCCAACCCAACGAAGCGUGAGAAGGGACCUCUGGAGAGUGAUAUCGUUCAUGGUAACCUGGUUGAAAUAGGGGAAUUAAUUAAGGGGACAUUCAGAGCUGCAAAUGUUUCAAGCCUCCCUCCUCCGUCCCAAAGGCUAUCUCAGAUAAGGCAGCGAAAAAAACGCACGCACGAUGAAAUGUUCUCUGAGCUCAUGCAGUCAUCCGGCACUGACAGAGCUCAGUGUUGUACCAAUAAAAUAAAAACCAGCAGGAUCUUAUUAAAGGGAAAAAGGCAAAAUACCACAUUUAUUGUGAAUACAGAAAGAAUCAUAGUAAGCAGUUAGUUCUAGUUAUAACAUUCCAUUCAAUCUCAUAUUUAUUCACACAUUCAUUCAUUCAUACAAACACACACACACACACACACACACACACAGGUUCUGCAAGGUUGUUAUCAUAGUUACCAGCCUUAGAGUUGCUCAUGCCAAGCCACUGGCCAGGUGGCCUGGACAUGAGGAGGGAGCAGGGCCUUGUCAGAUGCUCAUCUGAUGCUCCUGGAAGUUGGUUUGCAGAAUCAGACCCCAAAGUUCUCACUUUUUAGAGUCUAUUUUUAUAGGAAUUUCUUCCUAUGCCAGUCUAUGGGAAUUGCUUCAUCAUGCUGUUGCUGAAUCAAUCAGCAGAUAGCACAUUCCUGACGGCUCCAAGAUGUUAUCUUGUUCUUUGGUUCUCCCAUUCUUGAGGCUGUUGGGUGGAUUCCAGUCUGCCCUCCGGGGGGUCCUCUGGUUAUUUCCACUUGAUGCCUUUUUCAGCCGAUGGACACUGGAUUCUUAGGCUGGCAUCUCCCUGAUCAUUCAGUUAUUAUGCACACCAAGCAUCCAUCCACAUACAUCCUCUAUCUCUAUUUUAAUCACAAUUGUUAAUACAACAAACGGGCGGGGAGUCUCUGGGUGUUGUUUCUGUUGUUAGAGUAUUGCUUUGAGUCUCUCUCUCUGUGAAUUGCUUUGAGAACAGACUCUGUCUUAGAAUGUACUAACACAAUUAGCAGCUUGCAAGUUUCACACAUAGAGGGAGAGAAACAGUACCAAAAACCAAGAGACCUCUUAAUUAGUAAUACCCUGGAAUUUAAACUAUGGGGAAUCAAACUCAUUUGUGAUUUUUAAUACAGAACUUCUUUAAUAUGAUCCAAUAUCAGCAGAAUGUGUGGAGGGACACAGGAGCACAGUACAGGAAAGCGGCCAAUGAACAUGAGGACAGGAGGGAUGAUCAAGAUGAGAGAUGGUGGCAGGGAGAUCAGAGGAGGCAGGAUGCAACGCUGGGGUUACUGCGGGAUUAAACGGACAUGCUUCGGCGUCUGGUGGAGGUUCAGAAACGGCAGCAGGAUCACAGACUGCCGCUGCAGCUCCUGUUUAACCAUCCUCCCUCCUCCCCAGAUGCCCAAGAAUGCCAGGCGGGGAGGCUUCGGGCACCCAACCACUCCACCCCAAGUGGACAGCCCAAGCAACAGAAGGCUGUCAUUCAAGAAGUUUUGAAGUGGCCUUUUCCUUCUCUCCUUCCUUCCUCCCACGCUCCACCUGGGCUACCUUGUGAGUUAUCUCCCUAUUUUUAUAAUCAAAUAAUAAAGAAUACAUGUUUUUUAAACGAUAAUGACUUUAUUUCCUUUGCA